rnacentral:rRNA from 1 species
GGACUACAAGGGUAUCUAAUCCUGUUUGCUCCCCACGCUGUCGCGCAUCAGCGUCAGACAUGGCCCAGCAGGCCGCCUUCGCCACCGGUGUUCUUCCGGAUCUCUACGCAUUCCACCGCUACACCCGGAAUUCCACCUGCCUCUACCAUCCUCGAGCACGAGAGUAUCGACGGCCGACCCGGGGUUGAGCCCCGAGCUUUCACCGUUGACUCCUCGCGCCGCCUACGCGCCCUUUACGCCCAGUGAUUCCGGACAACGCUCGCACCCUCCGUAUUACCGCGGCUGCUGGCAC